rnacentral:lncRNA from 1 species
GGGGUCUUAUAUAAUGCUAUUUCACUCUAGUUUUAAGGAGAUUUGUAUAAAACCACGUUUGAAACAUCUUAGCAUUAUGUAUUUGUGGAGUUGGCUUGUUUCACAAUUCUUUUUUCUAACUUAGUUCUUAGCUAGAAGACCCUAUGAAAAUGAUGAUUCAGUAAGAUAUAUCUUUCAUGGUGCUAAAACAACUCACAUCAUUCUUAUGAUUAGCCAUUAGAUAUCACACGCCUAGUGAUUUACCUUUCUAAGCGACCAAAACAUAACCUUUGGUCUCUUAUUGGAAAUCCUUGGACUCAGAAAAUUACUAACCUACCAUCUUUCUCCCCUCCAUUUCCCCCACACAUCUUCUUUCCACCCAAUCUUACACCCUCUUUUUACAUACCAGUUAUUUCACAUUGCUCUGACAUAUUUUGUAAAAUGCUUGUAGGAAAUUAUUGAGCAAUUUUUUCUAUCCUUCACAGUAUUUAAGAUUUAAAUUUAUCUUAAUAAAAUUUAAUUUUAUUAUUUUAUAAAUAAUAAAGUGAUUUAAAAUUAUAUUUUAUUCCUUUUGAAAAACUAUCAGUAGUAACAGUUUUUAUACAGUAUUUGUAAUUUCUAAUGCCUGUCAAACCUUAUGAAGGACAACAGUGAAGUAUCCAUACUGUAUAACAUAGGUAUUUGGUAAAGUAUCACUUUUAGGAAUUUGGGUUCAGUUUGAUUGUUUAAAUACAUUCACUAUUAUCCAUUUCGGGGAAGUUCAGAUUUUCUACUUCAAUAUUUCCUGAAGUCCCUAGGAUCCUAUUUAAAAAAACUACAUUUUGAAAGACAAUUGUCUUUUAAUUUGAGUUAAGAUAGUUUUCUUGAGGAAGGGAUGCAAUGAUAACAAUUCAAAUGUUUUUUCUCGUUUAGAAUAGAAACAAUUGCAAGUGGACAUUUUUCUUGUAAAAAUUUUGAGUCUGAAGAAUCAUUAAAAACAAACAAACAAACAAAAAUAACUUUAUUUGGUGUCUUGAAGCAAUUGUGUUUUCAGAAUGAUAAAGAAUAUUGAGGAACAGCUAUAAAUGAGAAGCAUAUUUUAUAUGAUUCUUUCCUAGGGAACAUACUUGAGCUGACACAGGCAGCGCUCCCGAGUAUCCAGGUAUUCUAAGGUUCCCUAAAGAUCAAACUGAAGGUCCUUAAAACAGUUGCUAGCAUAGAUGUGUCUGACACCCGCUAUUGGCCACAGAAAUUCGACGUCCACAAAGAAACUAGUCUAGGAUAAGCCUUAUCUAAAAUAAGUUUUUUGGGGGGCAGCUAGGUGGCGCAGUGGAUAAAGCCUCAGCCCUGAAGUCAGGAGGGCCCGAGUUCAAAUAUUAUCUCAGACACUUAGCACUUCCUGGCUGGGUGACCCUGGGCAAGUCACUUAACCCCAAUUGCCUCAGCAAAAAAAUAAUAAAAAAAAAAAUAAUUUUUUUUAAAUUGAGGAUACUGCAGCAGGACAAAUUUCCUUACUAUUUUUAUAAGAGCACGUUCUUUGCCUGCUUUUAUUUAUUAGAGAGCAUGGGUGCGCACACUCUUAAUUAACCGCGUCACUUGCGGGUGCAGGAAAACUCCUUUUCACGGUUCAUUUAAAAAAAAAAAAACCAGCUGUGCGCGGGUGUCACGCGGCCUUCUCCAAGCCCCGUCGCUUCUCCGCGUGCGCUCUCCCUUUCUCUCCCUGCCUCCCCGGGCCUCCAGAAGAGGGCCGCGAUUCUCCCCGAGACCUCGCCCAGACACACUCAGGGGCGUCCCCCCACACGGACAGACGCGGACGUGUGUAAAACCUCCCGUACAUACUUCUCUGGAGCUCUUUCUCCGCGGGGGAGGACAUCC